AUUGAACGCUGGCGGCAUGCUUUACACAUGCAAGUCGAACGGCAGCGCGGGCUUCGGCCUGGCGGCGAGUGGCGAACGGGUGAGUAAUAUAUCGGAACGUACCCAAGAGUGGGGGAUAACGUAGCGAAAGUUACGCUAAUACCGCAUACGAUCUAAGGAUGAAAGCAGGGGAUCGCAAGACCUUGUGCUCCUGGAGCGGCCGAUAUCUGAUUAGCUAGUUGGUGAGGUAAAGGCUCACCAAGGCAACGAUCAGUAGCUGGUCUGAGAGGACGACCAGCCACACUGGAACUGAGACACGGUCCAGACUCCUACGGGAGGCAGCAGUGGGGAAUUUUGGACAAUGGGGACAACCCUGAUCCAGCAAUGCCGCGUGAGUGAAGAAGGCCUUCGGGCUGUAAAGCUCUUUUGUCAGGGAAGAAAAGGCUGUGGCUAAUAUCCAUAGCUGCUGACGGUACCUGAAGAAUAAGCACCGGCUAACUACGUGCCAGCAGCCGCCGUAACAC
rnacentral:rRNA from 1 species